rnacentral:rRNA from 1 species
UACGUAGGGUGCAAGCGUUGUCCGGAAUUAUUGGGCGUAAAGGGUGCGUAGGUGGCGCCGUAAGUCGGGUGUGAAAUUUCGGAGCUUAACUCCGAAACUGCAUUCGAUACUGCGGUGCUUGAGGACUGGAGAGGAGACUGGAAUUCAUGGUGUAGCAGUGAAAUGCGUAGAGAUCAUGAGGAAGACCAGUGGCGAAGGCGGCUUUCUGGUCUGUAACUGACGCUGAGGCGCGAAAGCGUGGGGAGCAAACAGG